UACGGGGGGAGCAAGCGUUGUUCGGAUUUACUGGGCGUAAAGGGCGCGUAGGCGGCGCAACAAGUCACUUGUGAAAUCUCCGGGCUUAACCCGGAGCGGCCAAGUGAUACUGUCGUGCUAGAGUGCGGAAGGGGCUACUGGAAUUCCCGGUGUAGCGGUGAAAUGCGCAGAUAUCGGGAGGAACACCAAUUGCGAAGGCAGCUCGCUGGGACGUCACUGACGCUGAGACGCGAAAGCGUGGGGAGCAAACAGG
rnacentral:rRNA from 1 species